ACAUAUUGUCCAGCUAAACCCAAGACACACCUAUUCACAAAUCCAUCCACAAAUUAUAAAUUAUAUUAAAACCAGGGGCGGGGAGCCGUCACUGAGCUCUGUGUCCGCAGGGAGGCCAAAAAUAAUGCGCUGCCUUCAUCGUCCACCGCGUCCCAGUCACAAACUUUCCUCAAGAAAGCACCACGGGGUGAUUUUCAUGUGAACGAGACCCCGACCGCGCGAACACACAGGACGGCAGGUAUCCACGGUGUGAAUAUAUUCACACGAUCAUCUGCCAGAACAGCCGUGAUAACAUCGACAACAUCCAUCCAGAAUGAACUGAUGUGUUAAACAAGGUGCGUACAUCUCCAAGCAACAACUGAAAAUCCCGGAAAGAGAAGAUCCAAACUUUGGAAUUUAAAUCCACAGUCACACCUGCGCGCUUCUGCUCGGUGAAAAAUAAGCAGAACUCAUCAUCCCAGACCCGUUGUCCUCACGUUUCCAUCCUCAAAUCUUCAAUUGGAUGUGGACUGCGCCACCGUGCAGCAUCCAGCAACAUCAGCAGCAGCGCAGAUAAGCCAGACAGCAGCAAGCUGGCAGACUGUGGGGAUCUGAGCACGCAUGGGGCGUCAUUUGGCUCGGAUAAGCCUACCUGUGGUGCGAUAACUGAAGGAUUGGCUUGUGUUGAUGGCUUCAUGGUCGAUUAGGGGAUGAUAAAUCUGAAAAGGUCGCAGAGCAACAGAGAGAGGGAGACAACUUUGAUCUGUUUCCAGUCUCGGUCCAUCGCUUCAGCUCCUCCACUUCCUCACUUUCACCAUCAAUCUGGAAGCUUAUGGGAUAGUUCAAAUGGCCGUUAGUAGAGUCACUCUUCUCUCCUGUACAAGCUUUUAGGCCAAGACUGUGAUCCAGCUGUUAAAUUCAUUUGUAUUCAUAUUGUAUUUUAUACUUUACUUUAUUGGAUUACAUUCACGGAGCCCCUGCUGCUGAGAUGCCGUUAAUUAGGAUCAGUGUUUCUUCUUUGGUAAAUACACAAUACAUUCUGAUUUUACAAAAUGUGCUGUCUUGCUUAGUUCAAUCUCAGUCUUUUUUCUUACCUAUUUUGUGAAAGUGUGAUUGAGCUGCUGAUUUGUGAUGGCUGCACCUGCUGCCACACAACUGAUUUAAAUCUCGGUAAACCUCCUGCCCUAACCGCUUUAUGGUUUACAUUUAAUAGUUAAUUUACUCCUCAUUUAGUUGGUCGACCUUAUCCGCACUGAAUUCACGUUGCACAUACAUCAGCAAACAGAUAAAUUACAUAUUUUUGAUUGUGUUUCUUUAGACUAUAUUAAUUUGUCCAUGCUUUGUUAACCUGCUUUGGUGAAC